CUUGGCGACCAUAGCGUUGCGGACCCACCUGAUCCCAUGCCGAACUCAGAAGUGAAACGCAGUAGCGCCGAUGGUAGUGUGGGGUUUCCCCAUGUGAGAGUAGGACAUCGCCAGGU
rnacentral:rRNA from 1 species